ACAUGUAGUAAAGAGUGAAAAUGGCAUCCAACGUGAACGUCUUGUGUCCGAAUGGACGACGACAAAUUGUCAAAGUUUCUCCUAAUACGAGAAUCCUAGAGAUCAUCGAGACAGUGUGUCAGAAACAGAAGUUUAAUGCAGAUGAUCACAAUUUGAAACACCAGAGGACCGUCCUAGAUGUCCAGGUUCCUUUCCGAUAUUCCAAUGUACCCAACAAUGCCAAGCUGGAGCUGGUUAAAUCAGAUGUCCCACGCAAUCGGUCUGGCUCCACCACGGUGGCGUUGCAGUUGUUCACGGGUGAACGGCUUCAGCAUAGCUUUGAGUCUUCAUCCUCCCUCUGGGAUAUUCUACAGCACUGGGAUGGUCAGAGCAGUGACAGGCCUUCUUUGACUUGUCCUCCAUCUGACAGUGGAACAUCUGUCCAUCCAAUCUGCAUCUACAUGACAGAGGAGGUUAUUGGUGAGGAAUGGUUGAAAGCAACCACACUGAGAGGCCUUGGACUGAUGGGAGGAAGAGCUAUUAUAAGGUUAUUGCAUAGAGAAGUUGAACUUCCACCACCACCGAAGAAAGUCCAGCCAAAGAAAAUGCCAAUUGCUGAUACUCCUGCUCACCCUUCAAAUCAAAUGGAUUCUUCCACCACAGCACAAGCUUCAGCAUCAUCGGAUCAGUCCAUAGAUGCACAAAGGGGUGGCCAAGUGGCAGAAUGUCAUUUGCCAACAAGUAUUGAAUCAAAACCAGCACCUCAAUUGACUGAAAAUGCACCUCCUACUAAUGAACUUGCCCAGAAAACUAGUUCCAACGUUACAGCCAUGGACUGUACCACUUCUGAUAAUAGGGACGAUUCUGUAAUGGAAGUUGAUGUGGUAGAAACGAAAUCCGAACAGGCCGAUUCUCCUGCUAUUGAAUGUGAUAACUCACUCCUCAAAGAAAGGACAGUAGCUCAAGAUCAGAGUGUAAGGCCAAAAGAGAGUCACCAACCUUCUACAAGCAAAGAAGAAGGAAUAUCAAAGGAAGAGAAAACAGAGAAAGUUGUAAAGGACAUUGAGAAGCAGGAAGGAAUGACUCUGGAUGAAUAUGCAAGGAGAAGGAUACAGAACCUACUUGAAAAAGAAGAAGAGAUGGUGAAGUCAAUGGAGGAAGCUCUGAUGGAUUCUAUGGCACAGCAAUCACAAGGAGUCAUGAACCAUCAACCUCCUCGUAGGAGAGAACCCAAACCACCUGUUCAUGCUUUUGCUGACUUUAAGUUUCCAGAACCAAAGAACACAGAAGAAACUGAUAAAGGCAAAGGAAAAAUGAAACAAGACAUUAGUUCAAAGCCUUGUGAGAGGAAUCAACUAGUCUUUUCUCCAGACCAGGAUCAGAUCAAAUUUGACCAAUCUAGCGAUGUUCCUGAUGAGUUUUUUGAUCUGACGGUGGAUGAUGUGAGGAAGAGGCUUUCUGAUCUCAGACAUCAAAGUGCUGAUUCUGGAAAACAACUAGAAACAAAGGCCAUGAGAGAAGCUCAGGAUAAGAUGAAGAUGAAGAAAUAUGAGAAGGUUGUGGUUAGGAUCCACUUCCCAGACCGUAUCAUUCUACAGGGAUUCUUCAGGCCUCAGGAAACGGUUGAAGCUGUGAAGGAAUUUGUGAAAUCUAAUUUAGCCGACAAAGAGCAAUCAUUUCAUCUUUAUACAACUCCACCAAAAACAGUCUUGAAAGAUAUGUCAGAGACCCUCUUCAAGGCAAAGCUGUUUCCCGCUGCUGUUGUCCAUUUUGGUUCCCUAGUUACAAGGGAUCAUUACCUCCACGAGGAUGCUCUGGGUGACUUGGCAUCCCUCCUUCAAGCAGAAUGUGUCGUAGCAAAAACUAUGAAUACUGGCAUUACAAGAUCAAUAUCAGCAGAAAGUACAUCAACUUCUGGUUCAGCUGCAUCCUCGUCUAUAGAAGACCGGCCAUCGACCUCCGGGGACCUUGGGUCAUCAUCAUCCACUCAACAGAAGAGGCAGGCUUCACCAUCCAACUCGGCCAUUGGCUCCACCAAAGUACCGAAGUGGUUCAAGAUGGGCAAAAGGUGAUACGCUUUUUCAUUCUUCAAAGUGGGAUCUGGUUGCAGUAACGUGAGAAGAUACAAUCAGUGUUUACAAACGAUAGUAACUUUUUAAUUUCUAUCAUUAUAUUACAUUUUUGCCUAAGCGGUCAAGUGAUUGUACCUUUUGUGUCAUUGGAUAAGCCAUCGACCUUCUCUCUGUUUUGGAGAAUUUAUUGUUUUAUGUGAGUUGAAUUGAUAAAGAUUGAAUACGAGGCAUUCACAAAUCACUUUAUUCAUCACAGAGCUGCUAUUGAUAUUAAGUUUGAAUUAAUUUACACCAGGCUCAAGUAAGAGAUGCAGCACCAAUGGAUGAUCAUAAUUAUACCUAUUAAAGGCAAUGGUGGUACCAAAAUCAAAUGCUUAAAGAGAAAUUCCAGUAUUUGCAGUAAACACUGAUUUCAUGAGAAACUGUAAAAAAAAGAUCGACCCCUCAGUCAAUCACUAAGCUUGAUGUUGCAGAUCUCCGAUCGUCGAAGACAUGUUUCUCAACCUACUAAAAAUAUUCCAGAGAUGAGUAGUUAUUGAACCCUACCACAAAAUGCACUCCGUCAUGCUGAGUGUUGAAUGUAGACAACAACACUACAAUGUUUGGCAAGCCCAGAGAAACAAACUUUAUUGAAUGUAAUAUUUUAUUACCUGAUUUCACAAAUAUAUAUCUAAAACAUGGCAGAACUUGAACACUUUAAAUAUGUACAUUUUCUGGUGGGGUUCUCCAACUUUUGAGCACCCCUGUACAUGCAAAGAUGUGAUAUCAUGUUACAUAGCAGGACUCUGACCCCACUUUCACUAAACGACAUUUCGUUAUCAAAACAUUUUGUUUGUCACAGCAUUCAAAUACUUUGAUUUAUUGAUGAAUUUAAACAAUGUCUUUUUAAAGGUCUGAAUACAUCAAUGUCUAAUUGCUUACGUUAUUGGAAGCUAUCCAAAAUCAAAUUUAUUAGUUGGAAAAGGGAGUUUUCAUGUACAUUAUAUCUUCUGUUAUUAGUACUUUAAAAGAUAAGUACUUUGAAAGAAAUUUUGCAGUAAAUGCAAUAUCUGAUGCAAUUUCUUUCUCAAAAUUGCAAAUUUGAUAUACUCAUUUAAUGCUUACAAUGAGUUGGAUUUAAGUUGAAAGAAAUUGUUUAGAAUUGUAUUGGUGUAUCUAUAGCAAUGAUUAAUUUGGGCAGCUACUUGCCGAGACAGAAAAUACUUUCAAAAUAGAUUUUAAUUCUUGAUGGAACAUUUGUUUUCAAUAUAUGAUGCAAGGCAUUAUUAAGUAACUGCUACUAUUUGAAUUCAGCUAUUAAUACAUGCAUGCCAUGGUAUGGAUAAGCAUGGAGUGUUUGGCACUGCCAUUUGGAUAAUAAAAUUAUUCUAAAUUAAUGUUCAAAGUUAAUGAAUGUUCCAUCUGCAUCAUUAUUUUCCAUCUCAAUGAUAAACCAGAAAAGGUAAACAAAUCUGAUAUUGUGUCUAUCAGGUCAAAUUACAAAGAAAUAAUAGAAAAGAUAUUUACAUGUAUUUGAUAUUCAAUAUAACAUUAAAAUGAUUUAAUCAU